rnacentral:rRNA from 1 species
UACAGAGGUCUCAAGCGUUGUUCGGAUUCAUUGGGCGUAAAGGGUGCGUAGGUGGCGCCGUCAGUGGGGUGUGAAAUUUCGGAGCUUAACUCCGAAACUGCAUUCCAUACUGCGGUGCUUGAGGACUGGAGAGGAGACUGGAAUUUACGGUGUAGCAGUGAAAUGCGUAGAGAUCGUAAGGAAGACCAGUGGCGAAGGCGGGUCUCUGGACAGUUCCUGACGCUGAGGCACGAAAGCUAGGGGAGCAAACAGG